rnacentral:rRNA from 1 species
CUACGGGAGGCAGCAGUCGGGAAUAUUGGGCAAUGGGCGAAAGCCUGACCCAGCAACGCCGCGUGCACGAUGAAGGCCUUCGGGUCGUAAAGUGCUUUUCGGGAGGAUGAGGAAGGACAGUACUCCCGGAAUAAGUCACGGCUAACUACGUGCCAGCAGCCGCGGUAAAACGUAGGUGACUAGCGUUAUCCGGAUUUACUGGGCGUAAAGCGCGUGCAGGCGGCUCGGCGAGUCGGGCAUGAAAUCUCCUGGCCUAACUGGGAGACGCUGUCCGAUACUGCCGGGCUUGAGGGCAGUAGAGGGUGGUGGAAUUCCGCAUGUAGUGGUGAAAUGCGUAGAUAUGCGGAGGAACACCAGUGGCGAAGGCGGCCACCUGGACUGCACCUGACGCUGAAGCGCGAAAGCUAGGGGAGCGAACGGGAUUAGAAACCCUUGUAGUCC